UAUUUUGGUUUAAGUGGAAAUGAUUGUGUUUGCGUACCUUUUUGUCAUAAAUGAAGCCCAUAUAUAUAGGCGCGGGUCGGGCGUACGGUCAAAUGGGUCCUACCCGAUUGAUAGCGACCCGUUGACCUCUUGGUUUGGUCACGUGCCUCCUCCCUACCGGCUUUUAGAGAUGCUGGUAGGGAAUAAUAAUUGCCGGUAAGGCUCAUCUGUUUUUGUCCUUAACGGCUUUGGCGAUGCUACCAGCCAGCUGGUAGCAUACCCGUACAGAUGGUUUGUAAAACUUAUCUUUAAAUGAUAGAUCAUUACGUUGGUAUUAAGUAUUAACAGAGUCCUAGUUUAUCUCAAACAAGGAUAUCAAGAGAUAAGUUCGGCAUUUCUGGCUUUACGAAAUCUUAGUUUCGGAGUGGCUUUGUUUGUCUCAAUCUCAACUAGCAGGUCAACGAAGGAGUUGGAGUCUUCAGUGCCAGCAAGUACUCUUAACAUUAAAAAUAAGUAAAUUGAAAGAGUAUUUGGUUGGUUUUGAACUUCUGAUUCUUAAUUCCUAAGUUCAUUUCAAGUAGCUGAGCUAAUAUUAAAUUGAAAAAAGAAGACAGCAGUGGUGAGGCAGGUGAGCCUAUCCAACAUUGUCAAGUAUGCAAAUCGUCAAGUCCUAUUUACGAAAAGGUGGGUCAAGUUGCAUGAGCUACAAUUAAAAAGGUUCGAGACUCAAUCCCGAUUAAACACUCUAAAUCAUGUACGUGACUUAGUCUCGAGGGGCAAUUUGUAAGCACGGAAAAUUCGUAUAUGUGCCACAUUAGAUAUUAUUCUGGUCAAAAGUCAAAGUAUUGACUCGAAAAUCAUUUGACAGUCUAUUAAAUUAGUUGAUUUGCGUUCUCAUAUUAAUUUAGCCCAUUUUAGUUGUUUUAAUCAAACCCUGAUAUUUUUAAUGGUUAAACCUAACAAAAUAGGUUAAACUGUUAUAAAUGGGUCAUGACUAUUAAGUCCAUUUCAAGAAGCCCAAAACACAUAAAACCCUAUAAGUUCAACUCACUCCUAUAAAUAAGAGUUUCACUACUACAAAAAUGUCCAAAUAGACCUCUAAAAACAGACCCACUACAUUAAUUAACGGGUCUCUUUAGUUAAAAAGACCUUAUAUUACAAAUAGAGGGUCUCUUAUAUAGACCUGGGCCCACAAUCUAUAUAAUAAAAUAUGAAACAGAGACCUUCUAGCAUAGAUACGACCUCUCUAUUAUAUGUGGGGUCCACUAGGUAAAAAAAUUGAGACCCGUCAGCUCUUAUAUUGGGUCUGUUUCCUAAUUUCAAUUAAUACGGAAAAAUCUUUGUUAACUUAGAAUCAUUCCGUAAAAAUAAAAAAUGAAAACGUUUGGAAUAAAAAUGAAAAUUGUUUCUCCCUUGUACCAUCGAAAAGCAAACCUCAGAUCUAAAGGCAAUCAUCCCAAAUUCUCACUCCUUCAUUCACAAUCAAACCUCCAAUUUAUCUUCAUCAAUCACUCCCAAAUUUCUGCACCUAAUUCGAAGAAAAACCAAUUCUUUCAAUAUUCAAAUCAACAAAGGUUAUAAAAACCCUAAUUUGAAGGAAAAACAAUUCUUGUGACGAGAUGUAAUUUCCAAAGCAGGGAGGUAGGAAGCGGUGAAGUAAGCUCGGAUCUUGCUAUGGAGCCAAGGUCUCCAUUGAUGAAGCUGCUUAUGAUCUGCGAUCGAAAAAAGCAAAUUUUCGAGAAAUUGGAGCACCAAGCUCUACAACCCUCACCUUCAUUCCAUUCACAAAUUUGAACCUCAUAUUUCACUGGAGUAAGAUGAUUAAUCAUAGUUACAAAAGAAGAGAUGGUUCCAACUCCAUUUACUGAUAUUGGCAAGAAAGCCAGAGUUGAACAUAAAGAAUCUUUGCUUUGAGUAUGAUACAGAUCCAUAUUAUCAAGUGUUAGAUGCUCUGUGUUGAUAAAUAUGGAUCUCAACAAGGGAUCGAGGUUCUCUCCUGUGAGUUAUACACUGUUUGAUCCUGGUGGUCAUAGAUAAGAAUACGAGCAAGCAACCUCUUACUUAUAGUCGUUUCUGAAGAUUACUGGUUAGCUCUCGUCAAUUUGGGUGUACGACUUCAGAGAUAUACAUAGUAUAUUUUUUUAGUGGGUUUAUUUAGGUUGUAACAAGAUUUUAUUCCUGUACUUGCACAAUUUUUGUAUUUUUAGAGGUAAAAUUUAGAUUUAUGAAAGUUACAAUCAUGAAUGAAUAAUUUGUAAUUGUGUAGAAGAUUUUGGAUGUAAUAUUUGUUUAUUUUUCAGUUGGUAAUAUAAGCAAUUAUCAAUAUGCAGA